GCGUAGGCGGGUCUUUAAGUCAGGGGUGAAAUCCCUGGGCUCAACCUGGGAAUUGCAUUGGAGACUGGCGGGCUAGAGUGCGGUAGAGGAUGGCGGAAUUCCCGGUGUAGCAGUGAAAUGCGUAGAGAUCGGGAGGAACAUCCGUGGCGAAGGCGGCCAUCUGGACCAGCACUGACACUGAGGCACGAAAGCGUGGGGAGCAAACAG
rnacentral:rRNA from 1 species